CUACGUGCCAGCAGCCGCGGUAAUACGGAAGGUCCGGGCGUUAUCCGGAUUUAUUGGGUUUAAAGGGAGCGUAGGCCGGAGAUUAAGUGUGUUGUGAAAUGUAGACGCUCAACGUCUGACUUGCAGCGCAUACUGGUUUCCUUGAGUACGCACAACGUUGGCGGAAUUCGUCGUGUAGCGGUGAAAUGCUUAGAUAUGACGAAGAACUCCGAUUGCGAAGGCAGCUGACGGGAGCGCAACUGACGCUUAAGCUCGAAGGUGCGGGUAUCGAACAGGAUUAGAUACCCUGGUAGUCCGCACAGUAAACGAUGGAUGCCCGCUGUUGGUACCUGGUAUCAGCGGCUAAGCGAAAGCAUUAAGCAUCCCACCUGGGGAGUACGCCGGCAACGGUGAAACUCAAAGGAAUUGACGGGGGCCCGCACAAGCGGUGGAGCAUGUGGUUUAAUUCGAUGAUACGCGAGGAACCUUACCCGGGCU
rnacentral:rRNA from 1 species